UACGUAGGGUGCGAGCGUUAAUCGGAAUUACUGGGCGUAAAGCGUGCGCAGGCGGCGCGUUAAGACAGGUGUGAAAGCCCCGAGCUUAACUUGGGAAUUGCGCUUGUGACUGGCGUGCUGGAGUGUGGCAGAGGGAGGUGGAAUUCCACGUGUAGCAGUGAAAUGCGUAGAGAUGUGGAGGAACACCGAUGGCGAAGGCAGCCUCCUGGGCCAGCACUGACGCUCAUGCACGAAAGCAUGGGGAGCAAACAGG
rnacentral:rRNA from 1 species